rnacentral:misc_RNA from 1 species
AAGUCAUAACAAGGUUUCCGUAGGUGAACCUGCGGAAGGAUCAUUAAUAGUGCUCUUUAUUGAGUUGAUCUGCUCUCUUUGCAAGAAGAGGGUUUCCAUACACACCGUGAACUGUGGCUUCGGCCAUCACAAACUGUUAGUAAUGAAUGUAAUAUCAUAACAAAAACAAAACUUUUAACAACGGAUCUCUUGGCUCUC